GAAUUGUGUGAGAUUAGAUAUGUGAAAGCACUUAGCACAAUGCCUAGCCCAUAGUAAGUAUUCAAUAAUCAUCAGCCAAAUUUGAAUAAGAAGCAGGCAGCAGUUGCUAAAAGUUUUCUUAAAAAGUCAAACCUUACCCCAGCCCAUUUAUCCUGGCUUUAGAAUCCCAGCAGGAGAUGAGUGAGUCAGUGGGGGUGAGUGCUUAGGGAUAGAAAUAAUCUUUGGAUCGCUCCCCCUUCCACUCUUCUUCUGGUUAGAGGCUCCCAAGAGCAACAGGAAGGCCAGAAUAUGGGAAGCUGAUGAGGAUAGGAAACCCUUAGAAAUCAUACUGAGUCCCUGCUGAACCUCAGAGGCUGCAGGCCAACUGCUGUUCUGAAGUUCUGGACUUGCACAGCAAGCCUGUCUACUGAAUGGCCAUCACGACCCAGAUUUCACAUCUCCAGUGACUGCCAUGUCAACAAGGCAACUGUAGACCUCCCUCAGAGGAGGCAGGUGAAAGAAGACAGCCUUUCGGGGCAACUCUCUGGCUAAUGGGAAGCACAUUGAUGAAGGAAGCCGACUGACUUGAAAAAUCCAGCACCAGCAUGCAGGCUGCCUUUAAGGCUGGAGGAUUAUGGCCACUUGCAAUUUUCUUGCUAAUUAAAGUUUUCAUAGGAAAAGCAAACACAUAUCUACACAUGUAUGUAUGAACUUGCACGCUGAUUGUAUUUCAGAAGCAGUGGGCUGAAUGCUUUGGUUGCUGGCUUUCUUUGACUCCACCACUCACAUCUGCGCUGUGUCAUUGACAGCUCUGGCCAUGGCCCCAGGGCACUCUGCAGGGGUCAGAAUAAACAGAGAAAAACAGCAGUGGGGAGGACAGCACACUCUCUCCCUUGUUUGACUUGGAACUCCUGCCUGAGUCUUGCAAGAAGCAAUAUGUUGAAUUUUAAAAGAGGUGAAAACUACGUCAGUUACUGAGAGAGAAAUCUGAAAGAGCUAUAGCCUAUCUUCCUUUGCUGGGAUCUGGCCUGGGGUAUGGAGGCAGGUGCUCACUGCCACGGGAGUCCUCUGGAAACUGACUUACUUGGAAAGGGCAGGACUUCUCGCUGAAACAGUCUCUGCAGUUUCUCAAAAGUGGGUGGGGAUCCUGGGCCCCCAUAACAUGUCUACAUGGUUAAGAAGAAUGAGACAUCCAACCAGCAUUUAGGAUUGCAGAGAUUUGAAGGAGAAGCAGUUCAUUAUAGGAUCAUAAAGGGGCCCCCGUUCCUUGACAUGCUAACAUGGGAGCACACAGGUUCCCACACAAACCCCUAACACAUGGCAGGUGACUUGCAUAUGCACCCACACCUCCAUGGACAUGUCCAGGGUUAGGUUAGGUCAAAUCUAGGGAAUGGCAGCUGCAACCAAACCUAUGUCUCCUGCAUUCACAAAAGCGUGUCAGAAUGAAGGUAAGUUCCAGUAAUGUAACAGCAAAGGAACUCACAAUUAUCAUGCUUGAUUGUUUGUCACAGAUGAACUGUGAUGGUGCCAUCACAUCUGAUGGUGCCAUCUUGGAGGCAGCAGACCUGAUUUCCAGCCCUGGUCCUGGCUGUAACUUGGUGACCUUACGUAGGCCUUCUCGGAACAUUGAGCUCUUCAUCUGUGAAAGAGUGAGGUUGGGGCUGAUGGCCUCAAGGGCACUGGCAUAACUAACAUUCUCUAGGUCAAGCUCCUAUUGUACUUUGCAUCACUGGACAUGUCUGAGAUCCCUGGAAAUGAGGAUGUACCAGAAUUUCCAACUCUCUCGCUAUUCCUGCUGGGUCCUGCAACCCUUCUCCAGUGGAAGUUUUCUGCUCCCUUGAUUGCCAAAUAUCCUCUUAAUCUCCAUCCCUUCCCCCUAAUAUUCUGUCCUCAGGAAAGGAUGUGAUAAUUGUGUGCCCACUAAGUAUCAAUUACUAAAGCAGGAGGAAGAAUUACCUUUUAACAGAAUGAAGCUUUGAACCAAAGGAGUGAAGCCCUAAUUGCAUAAUUGCAGCUGGAAAGAGAUUGGGAGCUCUGGUAAGAUCUCAGACCACUGGACCCAAAAUGUUCCUAGGAUGUUGAAGGUCCCAGAGGAGCACCCAGGACAGAAAAGAAACAAAACUUACUACAUUGUUACAUGGUUGUUUGUGCCUGCAGGACAAGACUUGAUCUUGUUAUUCAUUGCAUCCCCAGGGCCCAGCCUAAAGCCACUUGUGUAGUAGGUGCUCAAUAAACAUUUGCCGAACUGGUGAAGUGGUAACUGGUUUAUCCAUCCCUCUGAUCCCAUCCAGUAAGGACGAGAAAGAGAAAUUAACACAUAUCAAAUACUUGCUAUGUGUACUUCCCUGUACAUAACAUAAUUUCACUCUCACAACACUGAGUUAAGUAUUUAUGGUCCCAUUUUAACAGAUGAGGAAAACCGAGGCUCCAAGAGCUUUGAAAUAAU
rnacentral:lncRNA from 1 species